rnacentral:misc_RNA from 1 species
AGCAGCCGCGGUAAUUCCAGCUCCAAUAGCGUAUAUUAAAGUUGCUGCAGUUAAAAAGCUCGUAGCUGAAUUUCGGGACUAAUAUGUCGGUCGUGCCUCGGUACGUACUGGCUUAUUGGUUUCUCCUUUCUGAAGAACCAUGAUGUCAUUUAUUUGGUGUCGUGGGGAAUCAGGACUGUUACUUUGAAAAAAUUAGAGUGUUUAAAGCAGGCUCACGCUUGAAUACAUUAGCAUGGAAUAAUGAAAUAGGACGUUUGAUUCUAUUUUGUUGGUUUCUAGGAUCGACGUAAUGAUUAAUAGGGAUAGUUGGGGGCAUUAGUAUUCAAUUGUCAGAGGUGAAAUUCUUGGAUUUAUUGAAGACUAACUACUGCGAAAGCAUUUGCCAAGGAUGUUUUCAUUAAUCAAGAACGAAAGUUAGGGGAUCGAAGACGAUCAGAUACCGUCGUAGUCUUAACCAUAAACUAUGCCGACUAGGGAUCGGAUGAUGUUAAUUUUUUAAUGACUCAUUCGGCGCCUUACG